AACCCUGUUUUAUAGUAUGUCAUGGCCUUUUCUGGCCAACUGCUGUUAUGUUUAUGAUAUACUAUGGUGUUGUGUCACUAGACUUUGACCAGAUAUUAUUGCAUCCAAAGAUCAACUGUACCUAGAACAUAGAUACAGAGACACUUGUCAUCAGGAAGCUGCUCUCUCAGCACAACGGAAAAUAUGACUUGACAUGUUCUGGUUGUGAAUUCAGGCUACAAGGGGUCACUGCUCUAAAAUGAGUCUCUCUUGGAAGAGAGAGAAGGGGGGCCCUGCCUCUAAAAGGAGUGUCUCUGGGGAACAUGGCACCAAAUCUAAGAGUCCAAUCAAGCAGGAGAGACCAGCCUCCCCUGUUCCCAGCUGUGUGUCCAUGAAGAGUGACCGGUCUAUGGGUCGUCCUCCAAACUUUAGAGAGGGAGACGUUUCUAC